GAUGAACGCUGGCGGCGUGCCUAAUACAUGCAAGUCGAGCGAACCGCCGAGGCGCUUGCUCCUCUGACGUUAGCGGCGGACGGGUGAGUAACACGUGGAUAACCUACCUCUAAGACUGGGAUAACUUCGGGAAACCGGAGCUAAUACCGGAUAAUAUAUUGAACCGCAUGGUUCAAUAGUGAAAUACGGUUUUGCUGUCACUUAUAGAUGGAUCCGCGCCGCAUUAGCUAGUUGGUAAGGUAACGGCUUACCAAGGCGACGAUGCGUAGCCGACCUGAGAGGGUGAUCGGCCACACUGGAACUGAGACACGGUCCAGACUCCUGCGGGAGGCAGCAGUAGGGAAUCUUCCGCAAUGGGCGAAAGCCUGACGGAGCAACGCCGCGUGAGUGAUGAAGGUCUUCGGAUCGUAAAACUCUGUUAUUAGGGAAGAACAAAUGUGUAAGUAACUAUGCACGUCUUGACGGUACCUAAUCAGAAAGCCACGGCUAACUACGUG
rnacentral:rRNA from 1 species